rnacentral:lncRNA from 1 species
AGGAUUGCUCAAAUGAGGGGUGUCUUCGGUCUUCGUAGGACGUUGAAUGAGAAGGAUCAAUCGGUAGGGACCUGCAGAAGAAACUCGCCAUGUUCUUGCAGGAAUGGAAUAGAAGGUGGAGAGGCCAAAUGUGUUAGCGAAUGGUAGGGAAGGGAGAGGAGUUAGGAAACGGGACAGAUUGGAGAUGAAGAUAUUUAUCAUAGCAGGAANNNNNNNNNNNNNNNNNNNNAGGAGUUAGGAAACGGGACAGAUUGGAGAUGAAGAUAUUUAUCAUAGCAGAAGGGGAUGAUUGUGAUAAAUAUCUUGCCAUGUUCUUGCAGGAAUGGAAUAGAAGGUGGAGAGGUCAAAUGUGUUAGCGAAUGGUAGGGAAGGGAGAGGAGUUAGGAAACGGGACAGAUUGGAGAUGAACGUAUUUAUCACAGCAGAAGGGGAUGAUUGUGAUAUCAUAGAGGUGUAUUUAAUGAAUAUCUUAUGACCAGAGUAUUAUAUCAAGGUUCAACUUUAAGUCCUUUAUUUUUGACAUUUGUAAUAGACCUUCAUAAAUUUUAGAGUUUGCUAAUGAUAUUCUUUUGAUUGAUGAGAAUAUGAGUAAUUAUAAA